rnacentral:rRNA from 1 species
UACCGAGGUCUCAAGCGUUGUUCGGAUUCAUUGGGCGUAAAGGGUGCGUAGGCGGCGCGGUAAGUCGGGUGUGAAAUCUCGGAGCUUAACUCCGAAACUGCAUUCGAUACUGGCGUGCUUGAGGACUGGAGAGGAGACUGGAAUUCAUGGUGUAGCAGUGAAAUGCGUAGAGAUCAUGAGGAAGACCAGUGGCGAAGGCGGGUCUCUGGACAGUUCCUGACACUGAGACACGAAGGCCAGGGGAGCGAACAGG